rnacentral:ncRNA from 1 species
GAAAAGUUUGAUUUUGACUUUUUUAUUUAUGAAGUAAAUUUAGUAUAUGUAAAUUUUUGUGAGAAUUAAUUAUUAAUUAAAAAUUAAUAAUUAUAAUUUAAUUAAUUGCAGUAUUUAAUUUUAAUAAUUAAAGUAAUUUAGAAUUAUUAUUUAUAGUUAAUAUAGGCAAAAAAAUGUGCCAGCAGCCGCGGUUAAACAUUAUAUAUAAGUAAAUAUUAUUUAUAAUUUAAUUUAGUGUAAGAUAUUAUUAAUAUAUAAAUAAUAAACAAAGUGAAAUUUUUUUAUUAUAUUAAAAUUAUUAUAAUUUUUAAUUAAAAUUAAGAGAUCUUAAUUAUAAACUAGGAUUAGAUACCCUAUUAUUUAAGAUUUAAAAGAUUUUAGGGGAUUAAUAGUUAGGAUCUUUAAAUUCAAAAAAAUUGACGGUAUUUAAAUCUAAUUAGGGGAACUUGUUUUUUAAAUGAUAGUCCACAAAAAACCUUACUUUAAUUGAAAAUUUAUUUAUUGCCGUUAUCAGAAUAUUUUGUAAGAAAUUAAAAUUUUCUAAUUUAAUAAAAUUUAUAUAUUUCAGGUCUUUAUGUAGUUUAUAUUAAAGUUAAAAUGAGUUACAAUAAAAUUUAUUUAUGUUGGAAAUUAAAUUGCAAAUUUUAAUUGAAAUUGGAUUUAAUAGUAAAAAAAAAUAUAAUAUUUUUUUGAAUUAAGAAUUAAAUAUGUACAUAUUGCCCGUCAUUCUCGUUUUUAAAAUGAGACAAGUCGUAACAAAGUAGAGGUACUGGAAAGUGUUUCUAGAAUAAAAGUAUUUUAAAUUAAGUUAAUUAUUUAUUUAGUAGUAAAUAAUAUGAUUAUUAUAAUCAAUUUAAAUAUGUUAAUUAAUUAAAUAAAUAAAUUAAAUAAUUAAUUAAUAAUUAUUAGUAUAAUAUCUUUAAAAGUUUAUGUUAAAUAAUUGAAAUAAAUUAAAUUAUUUUUUAAUAUUAGUUAUUGGUAGUAGAAUAAUUUUUUAUUGUGGGUGGGG